rnacentral:rRNA from 1 species
UACGUAGGGGGCGAGCGUUGUCCGGAUUUAUUGGGCGUAAAGCGUGCGUAGGCGGCUGCGCAAGUCGGGUGUGAAACCCCGGGGCUCAACCCCGGAACUGCAUCCGAUACUGCGUGGCUAGAGGUAGGUAGGGGAGAUCGGAAUUCCUGGUGUAGCGGUGAAAUGCGCAGAUAUCAGGAGGAGCACCGGUGGCGAAGGCGGAUCUCUGGGCCUUACCUGACGCUCAGGCACGAAAGCUAGGGGAGCGAACAGG